UACCAGCACCCCGAGUGGUCGGGACGUUUAUUGGGCCUAAAGCAUCCGUAGCCGGUUCUACAAGUCUUCCGUUAAAUCCAACUGCUUAACAGGUGGGCUGCGGAAGAUACUAUAGAGCUAGGAGGCGGGAGAGGCAAGCGGUACUCGAUGGGUAGGGGUAAAAUCCGUUGAUCCAUUGAAGACCACCAGUGGCGAAGGCGGCUCGCCAGAACGCGCUCGACGGUGAGGGAUGAAAGCUGGGGGAGCAAACCGG
rnacentral:rRNA from 1 species